UAUUGGACAAUGGGCGAAAGCCUGAUCCAGCAAUGCCGCGUGUGGGAAGAAGGCCUUCGGGUUGUAAACCACUUUUGUACGGAACGAAAAGGUCUGCCCUAAUACGGUGGGCCCAUGACGGUACCGUAAGAAUAAGCACCGGCUAACUACGUGCCAGCAGCCGCGGUAAUACGUAGGGUGCGAGCGUUAAUCGGAAUUACUGGGCGUAAAGCGUGCGCAGGCGGUUAUAUAAGACAGUUGUGAAAUCCCCGGGCUCAACCUGGGAAUUGCAUCUGUGACUGUAUAGCUAGAGUACGGUAGAGGGGGAUGGAAUUCCGCGUGUAGCAGUGAAAUGCGUAGAUAUGCGGAGGAACACCGAUGGCGAAGGCAAUCCCCUGGGCCUGUACUGACGCUCAUGCACGAAA
rnacentral:rRNA from 1 species